UACGUAGGGGGCAAGCGUUGUCCGGCUUUAUUGGGCGUAAAGAGCGUGUAGGCGGCCAUACAGGUCAGCUGUGAAAACUCGAGGCUCAACCUCGAGACGUCGGUUGAAACCGUAUGGCUAGAGUCCGGAAGAGGAGAGUGGAAUUCCCGGUGUAGCGGUGAAAUGCGCAGAUAUCAGGAGGAACACCGGUGGCGAAGGCGGGUCUCUGGGCCGAUAUCGACGCUGAGGAGCGAAAGCGUGGGGAGCGAACAGG
rnacentral:rRNA from 1 species